UACGAGGGGUGCAAGCGUUGCUCGGAAUUAUUGGGCGUAAAGGGUAGGUAGGUGGUCUUAUUUGUCAGGGGUGAAAUCCUUGGGCUUAACUCAAGAAGUGCCCCUGAAACGGUAAGACUAGAAUCUUGGAGAGGUGAGCGGAAUUCCCGGUGUAGCGGUGAAAUGCGUAGAGAUCGGGAGGAACACCAGCGGCGAAGGCGGCUCACUGGACAAGUAUUGACACUCAACUACGAAAGCGUGGGGAGCAAACAGGAUUAGAUACCCUGGUAGUCCACGCCGUAAACGAUGGGUACUAGCUUUAGUGGGUCUUGACCCCCGCUGAAGCGGCGCUAACGCACUAAGUACCCCGCCUGGGAAGUACGGUCGCAAGACUAAA
rnacentral:rRNA from 1 species